GGGUUAUUAGCUCAAUGGUAGAGCAACCGACUCUUAAUCGGUAGGUUCUGGGUUCGAGUCCCCGAUAGCCCA
rnacentral:tRNA from 1 species